AAUCGCCUGCCGUCAUGAAUCCAAGCCCCGUCAAAAACCCCAAGGGGGGAGGGACAGUUUAUAUUAUAUUUUAAAUUGUAUUUUUCAAUGAUAUAUUAUUAUUUUUGAAUAAUUUUUUGACAAACUGGUUACUUGUUGUCCUUUGUACUUAAAUACGGGAAAACUAGUCGGGGCAUAUAUCUCCCAUUCCCCGCUCUCUUAUGGACAUCCAUGUAACCAGCAUCAUAUCCAUCAGCCAUCGCGCCGAUUUAUCAAUGCCGAUCGGAAAUAAAUAACAGUGUACAACAGUGGCCCACCCAUCGUGCGAAGUGUGUUAAUAUUGUAUUACUUGUGGUUUUAAGUAUAUUUAAAUGUUUAAAUCCGCCCAAUUUCUUUUCAUGCCAUUAAGCUGAUUAAACACCAUACAUAGCGUUAUAAAUAAUUUACAUGCAAAAUCGAUUGUUAUAACAGCCGAUUUUUUUUAUAUAUGUAAUUCUAGUAGGAAAAAGAUUGGAAGGCGAAUUCGAGCGAAUGUCUUUUUUCUAAAAUCCGGAAUCAAUUCACAGGAAAUAGCAAUUCGAUACCUAUUCAAAUGCGAGAUAAUUCAAGUGUGUGCCCUCAUUCGUAACCAGUUAUUACUUUAAUACAAAUAUAUGUAACGCGAAAAAAUACACC